rnacentral:rRNA from 1 species
AGAGUUUGAUCCUGGCUCAGGAUGAACGCUGGCGGCGUGCUUAACACAUGCAAGUCGAACGAUCCUUCGGGAUAGUGGCGGACGGGUGAGUAACGCAUGGGAAUCUGCCCUUAGGAGGGGGAUAACGGCUGGAAACGGCCGCUAAUACCCCAUAUGCCAGAGGUGAAAGGAAAUUCGCCUGAGGAUGAGCCCGCGUCUGAUUAGCUAGUUGGUGGGGUAAAGGCCUACCAAGGCGACGACCAGUAGCUGGUCUGAGAGGAUGAUCAGCCACACUGGGACUGAGACACGGCCCAGACUCCUACGGGAGGCAGCAGUGGGGAAUUUUCCGCAAUGGGCGAAAGCCUGACGGAGCAACGCCGCGUGGGGGAUGAAGGCCUCUGGGCUGUAAACCCCUUUUCUCAAGGAAGAAGACAUGACGGUACUUGAGGAAUAAGCCACGGCUAAUUCCGUGCCAGCAGCCGCGGUAAUACGGGAGUGGCAAGCGUUAUCCGGAAUUAUUGGGCGUAAAGCGUCCGCAGGCGGCUCUGUAAGUCUGUUGUUAAAGCGUGGAGCUCAACUCCAUUUCAGCAAUGGAAACUACAGGGCUUGAGUGUGGUAGGGGCAGAGGGAAUUCCCGGUGUAGCGGUGAAAUGCGUAGAUAUCGGGAAGAACACCAGUGGCGAAGGCGCUCUGCUGGGCCAUAACUGACGCUCAUGGACGAAAGCCAGGGGAGCGAAAGGGAUUAGAUACCCCUGUAGUCCUGGCCGUAAACGAUGAACACUAGGUGUCGGGGGAAUCGACCCCCUCGGUGUCGUAGCCAACGCGUUAAGUGUUCCGCCUGGGGAGUACGCACGCAAGUGUGAAACUCAAAGGAAUUGACGGGGGCCCGCACAAGCGGUGGAGUAUGUGGUUUAAUUCGAUGCAACGCGAAGAACCUUACCAGGGUUUGACAUCCUGCGAACCCCUGAGAAAUCGGGGGGUGCCUUCGGGAGCGCAGAGACAGGUGGUGCAUGGCUGUCGUCAGCUCGUGUCGUGAGAUGUUGGGUUAAGUCCCGCAACGAGCGCAACCCACGUCUUUAGUUGCCAGCAUUCAGUUGGGCACUCUAGAGAGACCGCCGGUGAUAAACCGGAGGAAGUGUGGAUGACGUCAAGUCAUCAUGCCCCUUACAUCCUGGGCUACACACGUACUACAAUGCUACGGACAAAGGGCAGCAAGCUCGCGAGAGUUAGCAAAUCCCAUAAACCGUGGCUCAGUUCAGAUCGUAGGCUGCAACUCGCCUACGUGAAGGAGGAAUCGCUAGUAAUCGCAGGUCAGCAUACUGCGGUGAAUACGUUCCCGGGCCUUGUACACACCGCCCGUCACACCAUGGAAGUUGGCCAUGCCCGAAGUCGUUACUCCAACCCUUGUGGAGGAGGACGCCGAAGGUGGGGCUGAUGACUGGGGUGAAGUCGUAACAAGGUA